rnacentral:rRNA from 1 species
ACAUUGGGAAACCAGUGCUAAUACCAAAUAAUGCAGCGGGCUCUUCGGAGCACAGUUGUUAAAGUAGGCUUCGGCUUACACUUUGAGAUAGGUUUGCGUCCGAUUAGUUAGUUGGUAGGGUAAUUGCCUACCAAGACCAAGAUCGGUAGCUGGUCUGAGAGGAUGAUCAGCCACACUGGAAUUGAGAUACGGUCCAGACUCCUACGGGAGGCAGCAGUAAGGAAUUUUGCACAAUGGGCGAAAGCCUGAUGCAGCAACGCCGCGUGAACGAUGAAGUUUUUAGGAAUGUAAAGUUCUGUCGUAUGGGAAGAGAUCUUUCGAAUGUUAAUACCAUUCGUUAAUGACGGUACCACACAAGAAAGCACCGGCUAACUUCGUGCCAGCAGCCGCGGUAAUACGAGGGGUGCUAGCGUUGUCCGGAUUUACUGGGCGUAAAGGGUACGUAGGCGUUUUAAUAAGUUGUAUGUUAAAUAUCUUAGCUUAACUAAGAAAGUGCAUCCAAAACUGUUAAAAUAGAGUUUGAGAGAGGAACGCAGAAUUCAUGGUGGAGCGGUGACAUGCGUAGAUAUCAUGAGGAAAGUCAAAUGCGAAGGCAGCCUUCUGGCUCAAAACUGACGCUGAGGUACGAAAGCGUGGGGAGCGAACAGGAUUAGAUACCCUGGUAGUCCACGCCGUAAACGAUGAGUAUUUGGUGCUGGGGGAUUCGACCCUUUCAGUGCCGUAGCUAACGCGAUAAAUACUCCGCCUGGGGACUACGACCGCAAGGUUGAAACUCAAAGGAAUUGACGGGGACCCGCACAAGCGGUGGAACAUGUGGUUUAAUUCGAUGAUACGCGAAGAACCUUACCUGGGUUUGACAUGUUAGUGAAAGUUUUCUGAAAAGAAAUCCCUUUAGAAGCUUGCUUCUAAACACUAUCACAGGUGAUGCAUGGCUGUCGUCAGCUCGUGUCGUG